GCUGGAAUGGCCGAGUCGUUAAGGCGAGUGAUUUGAAUUCAGUCCUUUGGAUUUUCAUUAUCACUUGGUGUUUCACCGCGUAGGUUCAAAUCCUGCUUCCAGCG